UACGUAGGGACCGAGCGUUGUCCGGAAUCAUUGGGCGUAAAGAGCGUGUAGGCGGCUUGCUAAGUCUUGCGUGAAAUCUCGGGGCUCAACCCCGAGCGGUCGUGGGAAACUGGCAGGCUAGAGUGCGGGAGAGGAGAGUGGAAUUCCUGGUGUAGCGGUGGAAUGCGUAGGGAUCCGGAAGAACACCGGUGGCGAAGGCGGCCUGCUGGGCAGUGGCUGACACUGAGGCGCGACAGCGUGGGGGAGCAAACAGG
rnacentral:rRNA from 1 species